rnacentral:rRNA from 1 species
GCGAGGCGGGGGGCGGCGGGCGGGGGAAGGCGGAGGGGGCCGUCGGUUGUCUGAGACAAUGGGCGUGAAGGGGUCGUAGGCGGCCGGCCCAGGCGGGGGUGAAAUCCCUCGGCUCAACUGGGGAACUGCGUCCGAUACUGUUCGGCUUGAGGCCCGGAGAGGGUAGUGGAAUUCCCGGUGUAGCGGUGAAAUGCGUAGAGACCGGGAAGAACACCAGUGGCGAAGGCGGCUACCUGGACGGGUACUGACGCUGAAGCGCGAAAGCUAGGGGAGCAAACAGGAUUAGAUACCCGGGUAGUC